rnacentral:rRNA from 1 species
UAACACGUGGGGAACCUGCCCCAUAGUCUGGGAUACCACUUGGAAACAGGUGCUAAUACCGGAUAAGAAAGCAGAUCGCAUGAUCAGCUUUUAAAAGGCGGCGUAAGCUGUCGCUAUGGGAUGGCCCCGCGGUGCAUUAGUUAGUUGGUAAGGUAAAGGCUUACCAAGGCGAUGAUGCAUAGCCGAGUUGAGAGACUGAUCGGCCACAUUGGGACUGAGACACGGCCCAAACUCCUACGGGAGGCAGCAGAU